UACGUAGGGUGCAAGCGUUGUCCGGAAUCAUUGGGCGUAAAGGGCGCGUAGGCGGCCACCGCAAGUCGAUUGUGAAAUCUCCGGGCUUAACUCGGAAAGGUCAACCGAUACUGCGGGGCUAGAGUGCAGAAGGGGCAACUGGAAUUCUCGGUGUAGCGGUGAAAUGCGUAGAUAUCGAGAGGAACACCUGCGGCGAAGGCGGGUUGCUGGGCUGACACUGACGCUGAUGUGCGAAAGCUAGGGGAGCGAACGGG
rnacentral:rRNA from 1 species